rnacentral:misc_RNA from 1 species
CAUGCUCCAUGCAUCGAACCGCCAGAAUCACGACCUCCUCAAUUAUCCUUGCCCACGUGCGUGCAUGGUGCCUCGUGGGCGAACGUCGRGUUCCUGUACCGCAUACCAUCGGGAUCGGAAAUGGGCGCUUCAUUGUGGGAUAUUCGUCCGGCCCCUCCUAAGGGGUCGCGAUGAACGUGCCGGUGCCUCUCGUGCUUCGGACAUAUCGAUGUCUUCGAUCGAAUGCUCCGGCGCACGGGUAGGCCGCCUGUGCUUUGGGAUGCAGAAAGUGGGUUUCGGUGGAAGGGGUCGCACCCCCCUCGGUUGCCUCGGAAAACGUCCGUAUUUACGAACGAACGACCCGCGAUCCCCGCAUCCGACCCCCGGGAUCGGAGCGGGCGUCGAGGUCGCGAAGGAAUGC